rnacentral:ncRNA from 1 species
AAAAAGUUUAAUUUUGGUUUAAAGUUUUGUUUAAUUUUUUAUUUACAUGUAAAUUUUAGUAAGAAUAUAAAUUUAAUUUAAAUAGUUAAGUUUGAAUAUUUUAUUCGCAGUAUAGGAUUUUAUAUUUUUAAGAAAUUGGGAUUUAUAAAUAUAUUUUAGUAUUAAUAAAGUUUGUGCCAGCAGUUGCGGUUAUACAAAAGAUACAAAUAAAAUUUAUUGAAAAUUAGUUAAUUGAAUAGUUUUAAAUAAAGUUAGAUUUAUGAGGUGAAAUUUAAAAUUUAAUAAUUUUAUUGAAUGGUAUUAUGAGGCUAUGAGAUUUAAAUAAUAAACUAGGAUUAGAUACCCUAUUAUUUUAAAUGUAAAUUUAUUAUUCAAAGAAGUAUUAGUUAUGAUCUUGAAAUUUAAAAAUUUUGGCGGUAUUUUAGUCUAUUCAGAGGAAUCUGUUCUAUAAUCGAUAGUCCACGAUAUAAUAUACUUAAUUUAAAAAUUUGUAUAUCGUUGUUAUUAAAUAUCUUAUUAGAGUAAAUGUUUAAGAAUUUUUUUAAAAAGGAUUUCAAAUCAAGGUGCAGUUUAUAGUUAAGAAGAAAUGGGUUACAAUAAAUUUAUUUAAAUGGAUUUAUAUAUGAAAUAUAUAAUAAAGGUGGAUUUGAAAGUAAUAUAAUUUAGUUUAAUUAUAUGAUUUUAGCUCUAAAAUGUGUACAUAUUGCCCGUCGCUCUUAUUUUAAGGUAAGAUAAGUCGUAACAUAGUAGGUGUACCGGAAGGUGUAUCUAGAAUGU